UACGUAGGGUGCAAGCGUUAAUCGGAAUUACUGGGCGUAAAGCGUGCGCAGGCGGUUUUGUAAGUUUGUCGUGAAAUCCCCGGGCUCAACCUGGGAAUUGCGAUGGAGACUGCAAGGCUAGAAUCUGGCAGAGGGGGGUAGAAUUCCACGUGUAGCAGUGAAAUGGGUAGAGAUGUGGAGGAACACCGAUGGCGAAGGCAGCCCCCUGGGUCAAGAUUGACGCUCAUGCACGAAAGCGUGGGGAGCAAACAGG
rnacentral:rRNA from 1 species